rnacentral:rRNA from 1 species
UAGGAGGUCCGACCUGCCCAGUGAUAUUAAUUCAACGGCCGCGGUAUUUUGACCGCGCUAAGGUAGCACAAUCACUUGUCUCUUAAAUGGGGACUAGUAUGAAAGGACCCACGAGAAUCUAACUGUCUCCUUUCUUUAAUCAGUGAAACUAAUCUCCCUGUGAAAAAGCAGGGAUCAUUAUAUAAGACGAGAAGACCCUAUGGAGCUUUAGAUAAAGCAAUAGAAAUUUUAUUGCCAAUCUUCGGUUGGGGUGACCACGGAGUAAAACUAAUCCUCCACGCCAAAUGGAACUUUCCAUGACAAAGAACUACAGUUCUACGAACCAAAAAAUUGACAAUUGACCCAAUAUUUGAUCAACGAAACAAGUUACCCUAGGGAUAACAGCGCAAUCUACUUCAAGAGUCCCUAUUGACAAGUGGGUUUACGACCUCGAUGUUGGAUCAGGGUGUCCAAGUGGUGCAGCCGCUACUAAAG